rnacentral:pre_miRNA from 1 species
CAACUACUCCCUCUGUCCCAAAUUUCUUGUCUUAGAUUUGUCUAGAUAUGGAUGUAUCUAAUACUAAAAUGUGACUUGAUACAUCCGUAUCUAGACAAAUCUAAGACAAGAAUUUUGGGACGGAGGAGUACUUU